GUCCCAUAGUGGGUAGGAAUUGGCCUUCCUUUCUCUCUCCUUCUGUUUUCCAGCUGCCAGCUGCUCCUCUCAUGAAUAAGUUUUCUUCUGGUUUCAGUCCUGUGACUCUGCUUUCCAAGUGCUAUUGUACCCAGGCCAGCUGCUAUCAUAUGCAAACUAUUAGUCUGUUCUAGAAGGAUCACAGGGAACCAGCACUGAAGAAAUGAAAUUCAGCUAAUCCCUCCAAGAAACUGAAGUUUCAGGACAUUUGAAAGGCAGACACAGGCUGACUCCUGCCCACAGACCACCGAAAGCUAAAGUGUACCUGAAAGCCAU
rnacentral:lncRNA from 1 species